CUCUCCCACAUCGGUCUCUACAGCCCCAGUGUCCUUUCAUGAUGGCAGUAGUCAGUCGAAAGCGACCGUGGUUAGUUAGAAACAGACAUACAGUGCUAGCUUAAGCGUGUCUACCCAAAAGUCCCAGGUCAGUAGGCUUAGGGUGCUGCUUAGUCCAAUAAGACUUUAAAGCGCUUCUUCUCAGAAGCAGCAAAUUGUGGAAGUAAAAGACUUUCCUUAGCCACGCUAGAUAUUUCUAUAUCUGUUAGUUAGAAUUAUGGAAUUGUAGAGUUGGAAGGGCUCCCACAGGUCCAACCCCCUGCAAUGCAGGAAUCAAACUUGUAGUGCAUUAACAUGUAACAUGGAAACAGUGUGCCCUACUUUAAUGAGAACACUGUUGUAGGGCAGGACUGCAGAAGCUCAAAUGCUGGUGCUACUUAAGGCAAGUGUGUGUGUCCUCCUAUAGGGAAACUGUAGGGCCAUAGCUCAGUGCUGGUGCAUCUGGAUUGCAUGCAGAAGGUACCAGAUUCUAUCUCUAGGUAUGGUGGGAAAUGUCCCUUGUCUGCCAGUUCAAGUGAAAUGCUUGCCUGGAUACAGCUAUUGUGUUCCCAAUCUGUUGUUCCAGUCGGGAUGUUCAGGGCUGGCAAACCUCAGACUCCUGGGCUGGCUGUGGCUCUCCUGCUUGUUCUGUCCCACCCUUGGGGUAUGCCCCUCUCCAGGCGACAUUGCUCACUGGCUGUGCUGUUCAAACUGGAGUGCUUUUGCUUGGUUAGAAUGUGUACUUUAAUUGAGAUAUACUGUAGGGCCUUUUGCUUGCCCAGAGGAUGAAGCAAUGGGUCUGACUUUUGCAGAGCUGGAAUGCAGCCUACUGUGCAAAAGUAACAGAGGUUUCUACACACCCAUUCCUUUGUUCGUUUGCAAGCUACUACAUGCCCCCUGCAUCACUGACCGGGGAGUGGGGAAUUCUGCUCAGGAGCAACAGCACCACAUCCUUUGUAACAGCAGAUUUUCCCCGCCCCACCGCAGUGUGGUGAAUAACUCCACAGUACUUUCUGUAUUCAAGCCAAUAUUUUUGUCUGUGCUUGCAUACUUGUUCUGUAGAAAGCUAGCAGUUUCAAGAGUUAAGACAUUUUAGAUUAUGAGUCAUGAGUGACAUUAUGAAGAGGCUCAGCAGCUACAAACAAGUUUCUGGCUACUCACAAGCUGGCUACGUAACUUCUUCCAGUUGUUGCUUAACUACCCACAUUUUAGGUGGGAGAACAAGUGUGGAGGAACUGCGCCACACUUGUAGAAACCUAGGCCACAAAGCAUUGAUAGAAGCGAGUGCAUGCACAAACAGAGGUUCAGUGACCCAAGAUAACAUGACACAUGCAUUCAUCCAAUGGCAAUGCUCUGAUGGCUCCAUCUUGUUCAAUGCAGGAACAAGAAAACAUGUGUUAUGAUCUGCUUAGCUGCUGUGUAAAGCUCCUGUAGGAUACAAAGGAGCCCAUUUGCUUUGCACAGGAUCAGACUUGUACACGUUAAAUAGAUUAGACCCCAGCAAGUCUAACAGAAAACCCGAAGAAAGGUCUAUAUAUCCUUACUGAAGAAAAAACAUUGGUAUUGCUUACAAUUAUGUGAAUCCAAGCAAAUGGUUAUUGUAGAAAAGAACACUUUUUAUUAAUAUAAAGUAAAAGCAGUAUUGAACUAAAACUAUUAAUUCUACUGCAUGUUUUAGUCUGGUCGCGCUCUUACAGAAACUUGUCUAAAUGUAUGCAUGAUUUUUAAAAGUUGGUGAAAUCACAUAUCCCAUAAUUAGCCAUAGUGUCGAUUCAUAAAUUGUUAUACAAACAAAGUGCUUUUACUCUAAUGAAAAUAACCAUGCAAUCAAUACAGGGGAAAAAGUGUUUAAGCACCACUUGAGGUUUUUACACAAUCCCCACUGAAAGGAAUGGAGAUUGUGUUGGAGUAAAGGUAAAGGGACCCCUGACCAUUAGGUUCAGUCGUGACCAACUCUGGGGUUGCGGCGCUCAUCUCGCUCUAUUGGCCGAGGGAGCCGGCGUACAGCUUCCAGGUCAUGUGGCCAGCAUGACAAAGCUGCUUCUGGCGAACCAGAACAGCACACGGAGACGCCCUUUACCUUCCCGCUGUAGAGGUACCUAUUUAUCUACUUGCACUUUGACGUGCUUUCGAACUGCUAGGUUGGCAGGAGCAGGGACCGAGCAACGGGAGCUCACCCCGUGGCGGGGAUUCAAACCGCCAACCUCCUGAUCGGCAAGCCCUAGGCUCUGUGGUUUAACCCACAGCGCCACCCGCGUCCCUGUGUUGGAGUAGUGAUAUGUUUUGUCAAUGAUUGCCAAACACUGUACAACUUACUAAGCAGUAAUUGCAACCCAAACCUGAUUAAAAUAUGACUGCAAGGUUUUGCGGGACCAACACUUGGUGAACCAGUUUCUAUGCUACAUUUUUAAUUAAUGAAGAGUUACAGAUGAAGGGUGAUUGCAAGUCUCCAUCAGCUCAAGUAAGUCUGCAUCUGACAUCAAUAAAUAUUAGUUUAUUAGAGAGACUGCUUUUUCAUAGUGUGUAUGCAUCAACAUUUUCAUCCCAUCUAAGCACAGCACAUUUUAAGGACUUAACAUAGAUAAGUAACUCCUUUGCAUUAUGUUCAAAUCAAAGAAAUAUUCCACACUAAGGCUGCAAUCCUAUACAUACUUAUGAGAGUAAGUACCAUUGAACUCAGUGGGGCUUACUUCUGAGUAGACAUGUAAAGUAUUGCCCUGCAAGCAAAACACAAGAGAGACUAACUCAAUUCAUAGUUAAAUAAAACCAGGAGAGUUAAAAUUCUGAAUUCAAUUGCUGGUGAUCAAAUAUCUGAAUUUUAUUACUCAAAGGAGGUAGUUUAAGUUUAGAAACUAAACACCAAGUAGUCCACCACAAAUUUAGUUGCACACAAUUUCUACAUAAAAUUGCUAUGGCUGCAGAUUCACAAGUUUACCUGUGCAAUGAUUGAGCUGCUAUGCCUCCAUGGACACUCAGUGCAAUCCAGUAGCAUGAAAUAUGCACAUUUCCUCUGGCCAAACAGCCAAGCCUAGGAGCUGUGUAUAUAGCCUGUGAAUGGUCUGGUCACAUAGGUGGCAAUGGGCACAAUUUAGCAACAAUUCUACCGGGAUGGCUGAAAAAUCUCUCUCUCACCUUCUAGAUUAAUCCUUGUGAAGUUCAGCAUUGUGAAAGAUGGCUACAAAAUGGUAAGUGGUAACAUUUUCUUAAACAAGUUGGGACUAAAAAAAAACACAUGGCAGUAAAUAUGCUUGCUUCUCUGCCAAAAAACCCAUCGAGUUCUUCCAUAGAUGUCUAACUGAAUUCACUGACAUAUCUACUUUGUCUCUUAGUUUGUUAAAGAGCUCGAACUUACAUGGGAUGUGGCCCUCUGCUGACAGAACACUCUUUUUAAUCCAGUAGAUUGUGAGCAGAAAGUGAGGGUGGAUGAGACUUAUCGAGAUCCCCCUCUUUCUUCUGCAACCCUUCCAGAGGAUUGGGAGGUCCUUUGGACUAGUACCUGAAAGUGGCUAAGGGGGCUGAAGGAGGAAUAUGUGGAAACAAACUUCUGCUCCCAUGUACUCAUGGGAGCCUUCACAAGAUCAAAGGCCCUUCCAUCAGCCAGGGGACAUGACUGGCUUCAACCCAUGGAAUUUGUAAUUAAAAAUAAUGUUACCACCAUCAUUCUCUUCCAUAGAGCAAUGCCAAACUACCACAGAAAAGUAAUGCAAGAUAAAGUACAGCCAUAUUUUUCUGGCUCUUUGACAUGGAGGCAGAGAGUACCAAGACACAUAUGCAGUAGAGUUGCAUCAGCUAGCAUCCAACUCAGCCGCUCAAGUUAGCUGACACCAAGUCCCAUAGAAAUUAGUCAGUCCUG